rnacentral:misc_RNA from 1 species
AAGUCGUAACAUGCGUAUCCAACGUUAAACCCCCCGUGCACACAGCGACCUGCUCCCCUCAAGUAAAUCAUCGCCGAACAGUUUUGAUUCAGGACAUCCAAAGGGUCGGGGUAGGGUAUUAAAGUAGUAGUCAAUGCAAAGCAAGAAAGUGUGAUGUGAGCCGGAGAACGGACCGAGUGGUAGUUCAAAGGUGCCUUCUGUCGCGCACUGUGGAAAGGAAGACGCUUUACGAAUCACUGUCCAACACGGUCAGUGACCGGUUCCUGCCUAGACCCCAUAUGCACCACCACAGUCGCAGACGAGGUAGGAAUACGUCCCUACCACCAAUGGAUACUUGAACAACUGUUAACAAUGGAUAUCUUGGUUCUC